UACAGAGGGGGCAAGCGUUGUUCGGAAUUACUGGGCGUAAAGGGCGCGUAGGCGGCCAACUAAGUCAGACGUGAAAUCCCCAGGCUCAACCUGGGAACUGCGUCUGAUACUGGAUGGCUUGAGUUCGGGAGAGGGAAGUGGAAUUCCAGGUGUAGCGGUGAAAUGCGUAGAUAUCUGGAGGAACACCGGUGGCGAAGGCGGCAUCCUGGACCAAUAUUGACGCUGAGGAGCGAAAGCCAGGGGAGCAAACGGG
rnacentral:rRNA from 1 species